rnacentral:tRNA from 1 species
GUCCGUGUAGCUCAGUGGAUAGAGCACCUGCCUACGGAGCAGGGUGUCGGGGGUUCGAAUCCCUCCACGGACA